rnacentral:sRNA from 1 species
UAUAGCAGAUUAUCUUCGUUCAAAUGGCUAUGAAGAGGCAUAUUCAGUUUUUAAAAAGGAAGCUGAAUUAGAUAUGAAUGAAGAAUUAGAUAAAAAGUAUGCUGGUCUUUUGGAAAAAAAAUGGACAUCUGUUAUUAGAUUACAAAAGAAGGUUAUGGAAUUAGAAUCAAAGCUAAAUGAAGCAAAAGAAGAAUUUACGUCAGGUGGACCUCUUGGUCAGAAACGAGACCCAAAAGAAUGGAUUCCCCGUCCGCCAGAAAAAUAUGCAUUGAGUGGUCACAGGAGUCCAGUCACUCGAGUCAUUUUCCAUCCUGUGUUCAGUGUUAUGGUCUCUGCUUCAGAGGAUGCUACAAUUAAGGUGUGGGAUUAUGAGACUGGAGAUUUUGAACGAACUCUUAAAGGACAUACAGACUCUGUACAGGACAUUUCAUUCGACCACAGCGGCAAGCUUCUGGCUUCCUGUUCUGCAGAUAUGACCAUUAAACUAUGGGAUUUUCAGGGCUUUGAAUGCAUCAGAACCAUGCACGGUAAGGGGUAGAGGAUAGUGCUUUAAUAGUAAUUUCUAUCAUG